rnacentral:lncRNA from 1 species
AAUUUCGAUGAAUCUUGAAUGGUUUAUCAAAACUGGAAUUUCAUUCAUCACUUGUUUGUUCUGUAGUUGUGUCAUCUGCAUAUUCUCUUGUUUUAGUGUUUAAAACAUAUAUUUAAUUUUUAAAAAAAGUUUAAAAUAAGUAAAUCGUUCUACCAAUGUUGAUUUGGCGUAGUAAACAUAGUCACCUUGAGAAGGCUACUAUGUUAAACAAUUACGUUAAGUAGCCAAGUAAUAUGUAUACGUAUAUGUCAUUUUGAUUCAAAGACAUGCAUUUGGAGUGUUUCAACGCAUCCUAUGAUGUUCAAAGCAAACUCAGUUCUUUUGCCUAGUAUCCAUCUAAUAGGUUUCAUGUUUCCAAUAGAAGUAGCUCUACUUUAUUUUUACAAUAUGUUUUUCUUUUCAUAACUUUAAUCCAUCUCUUUCUAUAUAAAAUGUCAUUUUAUUUAUUUCGUAUUUUCAUGGUCAUUUCUUAAAACAACAUAUUAUGAUAUCAAUACAUUAUACUUUAGAAUUUUAGAGUUAAAAUAACUUAAAUAUCUAUGCAUUACAAUUUAAGUGAAUAAACUUUAUCAUAAAGAAACUAACAAAUCAACAUUGUUAAUAUUAUGAUUUAGGAUCUUAUUCAAAAUAAUAACAUUAACAAAUCAAUAAUGUAAAUGUUAUUAUUUAGAAUCUUAUUCUAAUAAUUUCAAGUGAUGUCUAUGUGUACUUAAGUAAUAGAAUAUGAAUUUGGCAUGAAAUGUGGUUUCUGAUACUAACUUAUUGAUAUCAUAUAUAAAUAUCAUAAUAAAACGAAAAUUUUACUUAAUUCGUCUCUAUAAAAUUAAUUUUUAAGAGAAAAAGUGUAACACUAGAUAAACUCUUCAGAGACUUUGUGUUUUUCCAAUAAUAAAUCAUAUUCAAAAGGUGUUUAUAAGUAUUGACAAGAUGUAUAAUAUAUUUUUAUAGUUUUUCUUGUUUUGUUUGUUUUUAUGAGCUUAACUAAAUACACUCAAAUCUUUCAAAAUAAGGUCCAAAUAAUCGGGCUCACUAUCUAUUGUAUAAUUGAAUGUAACUUUCUUAAUGUAAUAAAAAUUAAUAGUAGUAAUGUAAAAAAAGUAGUAGUACUCUGCAAAUUUUAAUUAGUAGUGAAAACAUGUCCUUUAAAGAUAAAAGGGGUGUUAUAAAAUAACACAUAUAAACUAAAAGAUAUUUUAUUAAUGAUAAAAAAAACAUUCAAUAAUGUAAAAUUAAUUGAGAUUUCAUUACAUUAGAUGAAAUUAGUUGGGAUAGUCAUGUAAUGCAUACAUUUUAUGGGUACAUCUCAUCUAACACUUAGUAGCAAAUUAGUUACCAAAUGCAUUUAUCAACGCACUAUGGUAAUUGCAUGAUGGUGGUUCGCUACUUGUAUCUUAUGAGUCUUUAGGGUGUUCGAAGGAUUGUGAGCUUAGCCUAUAAUACGGAAUUUUAAAACCAAAAAUAAAAAUUAAGUUUUUCAUGAAAUAUAAAUUUCAACCUAUUAAUUAUGGUAAAAAAAAUUUCAUUUUUAAUUCUUGAAUUAUGUUUUCUUUUAUAUAUAAUAACUUGUUUAAGUCAUAUCAAUAUCUAUCCAUCAUUUUAUUUACGAUGCUGUUUUUCUAUGAGUUUUCUCACUAUUUUGUAAUUUCAUGAGAAUUUAGGUGUCUACGUAGUACUUUUAUGCAUGAUUAUUUUUGGUAAACUUUGAAAUGUUUAGAAUAUUCAGGAUGAAAUUACUCGAAAAAAAUUUAAAGUAUCUACAUUAAAUUUUUUGUUUUUUAGUUUCUGUUUUCAAUAUUUGUCAGCAUUAUUUUUUUGUAACUAUUCUAAAAUAGAUGAAUUCACUAUUGCAAUUUCUUUGCUAUUAUAAAGAGUUCCAUAAGACAUAUAUAAAAAAAAUUAUUUAUUGGUUAGUAAUACAGUUCAUUAUUUAACAUGAUCACAAUAUAAUAGAAAUAAUUUAAAAUAUUUUUAAUCUGAGCCUUCAAAGAUGAACAUUAAAAAAAUAUGAAAUAAAGGACAAACACUUUUACAUCCUUGUUUCAAAACUAUUAAAAAAAUCAUAAUCAAUAUGAUUACUAUCAACUUCAUUACUAUAUGUUCAUAAAAUUUAUUGAUAUUUAUUAUUAUCUUUAUGAGGCAAUUUGUUUUUAAUUUUUGGGGUGAGAUAGAACACAAAAAUUUCGAUGAAUCUUGAAUGGUUUAUCAAAACUGGAAUUUCAUUCAUCACUUGUUUGUUCUGUAGUUGUGUCAUCUGCAUAUUCUCUUGUUUUAAUUGAAUGGUUUAUCAAAACUGGAAUUUCAUUCAUCACUUGUUUGUUCUGUAGUUGUGUCAUCUGCAUAUUCUCUUGUUUUAGUGUUUAAAACAUAUAUUUAAUUUUUAAAAAAAGUUUAAAAUAAGUCAAUCGUUCUACCAAUGUUGAUUUGGCGUUGUAAACAUAGUCACCUUGAGAAGGCUACUAUGUUAAACAAUUAUGUUAACUAGCCAAGUAAUAUGUAUAUGUAUAUGUCAUUUUAAUUCAAAGACAUGCAUUUGGAGUGUUUCAACGCAUCCUAUAAUGUUGAAAGCAAACAUAGUUCUUUUGCCUAGUAUCCAUCUAAUAGGUUUCAUGUUUCCAAUAGAAGUAGCUCUACUUUAUUUUUACAAUA